rnacentral:lncRNA from 1 species
AGAAACCGGCUGCCAACCGCAUUCAGGCCAAAGCACCUAAGCAAUAAACACAAGUCAAUUUCAUAUCUUCAACAAAGGCCAUUCUAUUAGAAGCACAGACAAUCAUAUUUGUCAGCAAUUAUAGGCUUUUCCAUUCAUACAUGGCUAAUUUAUGACAUAUCUUCAUCAAAGGCCAUUCUGUUAGAAGCACAGAUAGUCAUAUUUGUCAGCAAUUAUGGGCUUUUCCAUUCAUACAUAGCUAAUUUAUGAAUGUCAAUCAGAAAAAUCAUGAUUUUCCGUAUAACCAACGCAUUUGGUCUCAGUAGAUGUUCCAUAUAUUUGUAUAUUUUUUGGUGAAUUUCUAUAGUUGAACGCAAAAUUCUUUAUCUGAUAUGAAGGCUUUGUUUUUGUCUGGUGUUUUUCUUUAACACCAGUGUUUUUCUUCUAGCUGUCCGCACCAGACAGGUAGAGCCAACAAUCACCGCCCAAAAAACAAAACGUGACAGUGAUUAGCAAGUAAAUACAUAGACGGAAAAAUAUAUCGAAUGUGUGUAUCAGUUAUUCGGUAAUCUUUUUACUAUACAAAGAAACAUGCCCUUGGAUUUUUCUUUUCUCUUGUUAACUAGGUGAUGUGUUAAGUAUCAGUUAUUCGGUAAUUUUUCACUGUAGAAACAUGCCCUUGGAUUUCUCCUUUCUCUUGUUAACUAGGUGAUGUGUUAAGUGGAGUGAGCAGUUCAGGUGUGCAACUG